AGGGGCUGGAGGAGAGAGGAUGGUGGUUAUUGUUUAAUGAGUGUGGGCCUUCAGGUUUGCAAGAGGACAAGAGUUCUGGAGAGGAAUGGUGGUGAUGGUUACACAACAAUGUGAAAAUACAUAAUACUACUGAAUUGUAUACUUGAAAAUUGUUAACAGCAUAAGUUUUAUGUGUAUUCUACACCAAAUAAAAAACAAUAUUAAAAAAAAUGAGGUACAAGAGAGGCUUAGAGUUGAAUUAAUCCAAACUCUAAGGCCCCUUCCUGGAAAGCCAGCGCAGGCUACAGCUGCUGUCAGAGCCACAACCUUCUCCUCCCCACACCCCAGGACAUCAAGAACUCUUCUUACUGAAGCUAAAGAGAAUAAGAAUUUGACAUGUAAUGUCUUUGAACUUGACUGAGAGUGGGAUAAUUUAAUUUCAGGCUUUAACUUCUUUGGAUCUUAUAAGAGGAUUAAAUUUUGGUCUUGGGGCUCACUAGUAACUUGAUACUGAGAAGGGUGCCAUGAAGUCUGCAGAACAAGUUCAUCCACUGCAUGCCACUUGAUCCUCCUGAUGAUCCAGUGAGGUGGAUGGAUGGGAAAGCCUUCCGAGGAAAACUGGAGGCAUGGUCUCCUUGUCUUCAGCCAUCCCCUUGGUGGAGCGCCCACCUUGAGUAUCAGGAAGGAUCGCCUCCCGUCAGGCCAGCCCGCUCUCUCCAGCUUCACAUGCUGCACUUCCGAGAGUCCCUGGAACUCCAGAAAUCCUUCCCUGGUUCCCUCGGGUACACCUGCUGUUCCCCACACUGAUCUCCACUCCUGUGGAUGUCCAGACCCAGAAUGCGAGAGUAGAUGUCCGGGUGAGGUGCACAGGCCCACACAGAAUGACCAAUGGGGACACGGCCACCUCAAGGCUUAUGCUCAGUAGGAAAAUAUAGGUUCUACCAGCGCCAACCAGCCAGUCAUUCUGGAAUAAGUGCACAGUGUUGUCAGAUAUUCUGCUGAUUUUUGAAAAGAAGUCAGACGUCAAUAUUUUAAAGCACAGUGUGGUUCAAGUUUCUAAAAAUCACGACAUGGGCCAAAACAAAAGUCUGGGUCAGAUUUACCUGUGGCUGCUUUGCUACCUGUGUGUGUAGGCAAAGUAGUGGAUUCUUUGCACCUUCUACAUUUACAAAACCUGAAAUACUUUAUGCAUUCAUUCAUUUGAUAAUUCUCUUCAUCUCUCCUGAGCUGGUACUACACAGGGAGUUAGGGAAAGCAGAUAACCAAGAUGCAAUAUAUCCCUACAUAAGGAAUGUCAGUGUGACGUGACCUGUGUCCAGCUGGAUCAACCUCUCCUCUGCUCCCAUAGCACCUGUGCACUGAACACACUGGCUGGAAACUCACAUUUUGCUGGGCUGUGUCUUCCUAGCUCUGUGACAUCCUACUUACCUGCUACCUGAACCAUAUACUUCAGUUCUGUACCCCCAGCUUCUAACCUGACCCAGGACCUAACACACUGUAGUGGUUUUGGAAAAGCUUAAGGACUGACAAGUGAGUAAGCAGCCCACUCACCCACUCACGGGUCAUUCAGGGCAGUGAAAGCAAAGAAGGGUCUCCCUGUGUCCAGCUUCUAUUCCUACCUUCAACCCCAGAUUUUUAAACUCUUUUGUCAAGAAAAAAAGCAAAUGCUAAUUGUCCUAAAAUAGGCCAUAAUAAGGGCUUCCCAGGUGGCUGCUGCUGCUGCUGCUAAGUCACUUCAGUCAUGUCCGACUCUGUGCCACCCCAGAGACAGCAGCCCACCAGGCUCCCCCGUCCCUGGGAUUCUCCAGGCAAGAACACUGGAGUGGAUUGCCAUUUCCUUCUCCAGUGCAUGAAAGUGAAAAGUCAAAGUGAAGUCGCUCAGUCGUUUCUGACUCUUAGUGACCCCAUGGACUGCAGCCUACCAGGCUCCUCUGUCCAUGGGAUUUUCCAGGCAAGAGUACUGGAGUGGGGUGCCAUUGCCUUCUCCAUUCCCAGGUGGCAUUAGUGGCCAAAAACUUGCCUGCCAAUUCAGGAGAUGCAAGAGUUGUGGAUUUGAUCCCUGGGUUGGGAAGAUUCUCUGGAAAAGGAAAUGGCAACCCACUCCAGUAUUCUUGCCUGGACAAUACCAUGGACAGAGGAGCCUGGCAGGCUACAGUCCAUAGGGUUGCAAGGAGUCGGACACGACUAAGCACACACAUAGGCUAAAAUAAUGUAAAGAAGCAAAACCAUAGAAAUCAAUACGAAUGAAAGUAUUAUCUCUGAGAGUUAAAGUCAUUCAUUCAUUCAAAAAAUGUCAAGGUGAGUACCAUACUCCAUUGAAGAGAUGAGACCAUUAAAGAAAGCAGAUUUAAAAAAUCGGUAUUCAUGUGAAGUCUCAGUGUCAUGGGAAAAUCAUUGAUUCAGGAGUUAGAUCAUUUGGCUUCUUGUCCACCUUUCCCACUGUAAGAUCUGGAGCAACCUACUGACUGCAUCUGGGCCUGUUUCUUUCUCCUGUAAAUUGAGAGGUGAUCAGAGUAUUUCCAGUGUGACUUUUGGCUUUUACAAAAUCUGUGAUUCCUGGCAACCAGUUGCCUCUUCUGAGAUCACCUAACCUGGCAGUAAAAAAAGAAAGAAAGAAAGAAAGAAAGAAAUCUGUAAGCCAGCCUAUGUCUGCCUCCCUCUCCAAGAGUGAUCAGAGCCUUGCUCCCCACAGGACAGAAGAAUGAAUAAUAGUGCACUGGAAUUCUCACGUCCUUCCCUCUUCCUUGAGAACCAAGGGACUGACUCAAAAAUACUGAGAAAUAAACAGACCACUCCAGAGCCUUUCUGGAGGUUU
ensembl:lncRNA